GCAUUAAUGGGGUAGUGGUAACCUGGGUCGUUGCCAAUAAUGCAUUCUCGACCCGCCGGGGGUUCGAUUCCCCCUUAAUGCA